CUCAUUUUUCCUUGCUCGGGGUAAGUACUCUACGUCUUUAUGUGCUGUGGUUUUUCACUUUGUGUUUUUCUUGUCUUUCUCUUUUUUUUUUUUUUUUGGUUUUUUGAGANNNNNNNNNNNNNNNNNNNNNNNNCUCACUUUGUAGACCAGGGUGGCCUCGAACUCAGAAAUCCGCCUGCCACUGCCUCCCGAGUGCUGCGAUUAAAGUCGUGCGCCACCACGCCCGACUCUUGUCUUUCUCUUAAUCAGCUUUCCUAUAACUGCGGCUGGCUUUUAUCACAAACACCUAUCUGCCACUGUUGUGAAUCGCCGCCUGUAUUUUCUUACGUAAUGUUUGUUUCUGGUGGUUUAAAAGACCCUCGUGGGCAGCGUUAGUAGAUGUGGACUUCGGUAAUCUGUUCCGUAGUCUUAGCGGGGAGACCAUGUUAGGGCAUUCAAGACCUAAAGAUGACAGGAUUUUGUGAAGGACAAAAUGGUGGCGGCAGUGCAAGGCCACCCCCUAUGAUGAGGACCUUUUCACAGACCUGUACUGAUAUCUCUGUGAGGAUAAGUAACUCUGAGGAGGCUGGCCCUACACCACAGCCUUCUCCUUUAGAGAUUUCUUGGUGUAGAAGUAACCCGAUGCUAACUUCUCUACAGGUUUGAGGUGCCACCUUACAUACAAAAGGAUGGGUGUACACUCUCUUUUCAGAAUAUGGUUCAUCUCAAAGCCCUUUACCCUUUGGAGCCAGGCCUGUUCGAUUUUACAAAUAGCACGUUUUGCUUGUAGUCAGGUAGGUAUUGAUGGUUUGUGCUUCCUUAGGGAGCAUAUUUAGAUGGCCACUAAAUGAUGAACAAUGUAAAUGACAAGCAUAUGGCUGAGUUGCAAUGAUGUCAUCUUACUACUGAAGUGGGCUGAAGAAAGAAGGUGCUGAGGUGGCUGUGAUUACAUUUAAAAAUGACAUUGUUUCUCUGUUUCCAGGGUGCUGUGACAACAUGAAAAGUUCAAGCUACCUCCCAGGAUGAGUGCAGGUAAUUAUCCAAGUAGAGCUUAGGCUUUCUCUAGGGAAAAUAGUCAAGACAGACAUUGAAGCAGCACAACACUUUUGCUGCUUGUUAUUUGUAUUUCUAGAGGACACAUUAUGUUAAGGCCUUUGUUCUCUUAAAAACUCAACUGUCAGAUGAUUUGAAAUGAUGACACUGAACACUCCAUGAAGGUGUGAAUUUAUAGCAUGUUAGAGUUCUGAUGGCAGUUAGUGCUGACAGAGAUGGUAAUUCUGUCCUGAUGGUUGAAAAUAACUGCUUGUUACUCUUCCACAGGUUUUCCUGGUGACAAAUCUCAGGCAUUCAAAGGUUAGUUAGGUUAUUUUGGAUGGGGUUUGUUCACUAGGUUUGCUGUUUCUAUGAUGAAUCAAACUAGCUCACUAUGACUGCUAAUGAAAACACAGGAACACCUGAGAAACCAAAGGGUAGUGUGGGGGCAAGGGCGCUUAUAUCCAGCCUUUUCAAGGUUUGUUAUUUUUCUCCAGGUUCUGUUAGCAGUGCCAUACUUGGGUUUACAGGUGAGUAAUUCCAGUGUGGUGUAUAUGCAUAGCAUUGGACUGGGGGGGGUACCUAACUGAGAACGUACUUUGUAUAUAUGAUGACUUUCAUAGAAUCUCGUUCGGCUGAUGAUUGCUGUUGAGACUUGGAAAUCUGAUUUUUCUCAGAAUGAUGGGUUAGAUAGGAACAAUCUGUUGCAGGAUUUUUAACAUUGCUGAUGACUGUCUUGUUUUUUCAGAGAUGGUGUGUCUGACUGAGAGCAAAGGAGCCAUACCAGGAAAGUUGAAGCAUAUCUUCAUUUUCAAGUCCAGGCUAAAAUAAGGUGAGAAAACUUAGAUGAAAAGUAUGCUGAACUAUAAUUUCCCCAUGAAGAAAUGUUCAAACGUCCUACUUCCUGUCCUAGCUCCAGAGCCUGAAAAGGUGAACCCACUGGGGCUGGCUGGGGGAAAAGAGGAAACUUUGUUCCAGAAGGAACUGUCUGAGGGAUCAUUUUUGUGCGUAGAAAGGGAAGAAUUCUCACUUGAUUAAAGAGGAAUCAAAAGGUGAUUUACUUGUUUUACAGGUCUGAGGAAAAGAAUGAGCUGCGUGUGAAGGGAUAGAAAAAGAAAUCAUGAAAGAUCUGUUUGUCCAGGCCAGUGUUUCACCAUAAGAGAUCACUUUAAAUGAGAUGAAGUAAUUCUUUGCAAUUGCAAAUUUACCUUCCUUGCUUACCACAUUGUUAACUGUAGGAGCUGAUAUCUGGUUCUUCCACUGUUAACUUGNN
ensembl:processed_transcript